ensembl:lncRNA
AUGUCUAUUAAUGAACAGUAACCUUAUUUCAUGCUAUUGGUCAUAUCAGCUUUCUCAUUGCUUUGCUUCCCUUUUUGAAAAUAUCAUUGAUUUUUUUUUCCUGAUGAUAAAAGUGGUAUGUGUUCAUGACUAGAAAUUUGGAAGGUACAGAUAAGUUAAAAAGAGAGAGAAGAAAGAUUAUCUAAAAUAAUUAUAUUACCUAGAAAAAAACACUAUGAACAUUUUGUUGGGUUUGUGUCCCAUGUUAUUUCUAUGUAACACGCAUGCAUUCCCAUCAAUGUCAGCAUCAUCUGUUACAGAGAAAUUGUCUAUCCUCCCUCUUGCUCUUCAUAUUAUCUGAUCUCCGUCACUGUUUUUAAAAAUAUCAGUCUACUUACUAUGUGAUAUUUCAUCAUACAAUUUACCACAAUGUAUGUAUCCAUGUUGCUAGUGUCUAACAUUUAAAGUGCUUACAGAGUUUCUUGUUUUGUGGGGUUUUUUUUUUUUUACCCUUAUACAUAUUGCCUCGAUAAAAUCUCAUGCUAAAUUUCCAUAUUGCUCCCUCGGUUUGGAAAAGUUCCUCAAAGUGCAGCUCCCAUUUCAAGUGAUAUGAACCCUUUCAACAGUCUUGAUCACAAGUGCCAGAUUAUCCAAUUUACAUUUCCACUGACGUGUGAGAAAUCUCCCUUGAGGAAGUUCCCUUGGGGUGCAGCUGUGGAGUCGGUUGCAACUGUGCAGAGGGUUCAAUCCCUGGCCGGGAACGUCUACAUGCCACAGGCGUGACCCCUUCCCUCUCCCCCCAAAAAAAAGCCAGAUACACCUCUUAUGUCCUCACCAAUACUAUCAUCAGUUUCUAAUCUUUGCCGCUUUGAUAACGGAUAAUGGAUCUUUUGUUUCCUUUGUAAUUUUCGGUAGUUAGUGGUCUGCGAUGCUUUUGAGGUUUCCUUUGUUGUAUCCCAUCGUGUGACUAUUAUAGUCCUGUGUUCAGACCCACCUGCAUUGCCUUUGGUCGUAUGUCCGUUCUUCAGGAGUUAGAACCUUCUCUUCCCUCCUAUGGAAAUGCUCCGUCGUAAAGGUCCUCGGAGGCCUUGGUGCCGUUGUGUGCAAGUCUGGUGUGAGACUGACUCUGAGCUUUGCCCCCCCAGCUGCUGGAGAAGGGCCUCCCGAGCAUGCAGCAGCCCCUGCUGCAGGUCAUCUACAGUCUGCUCAGCUACGUGGACCUUUCCGGCGUUCCUGUCAAGCAGUUCAACGUGGAAGUUCUGAAGACCAUUGAAAAAUAUGUGCAAGUGAGUCUCUGAACCAGGAUGUUUCCAGCAGGUCGUUCCAGAAAGACCGAGCCUUUGUGUGGAGCUCGUGCUUGGCCACGGGGCUCUGCGGGUGCCGGGCCGUGUGUCCGUUCAUGAGUAGAUGCAGCACAGUGAGAGCAGCCAGGCUGGUGGCUGACCACACCCUGAGGGGGCUACCGGGGAGGGAGACAGGACCUGGCCUGGUACAUCCCUGGGCCUUCCGAGACAGGACCAGGCCCGGUACGUCUCUGCCUCCUGGACUUCUGGGCCAGAUGUUAAAAGCACACUCCUGGCUGGGAGGGGAGGGUCUUGCUUCUGUAUAGACUCCUAUUUAAAGAAGGCGAAGGAAGAAGUGACUUUUCCGUGCCUGGUUCUAGGCCAGCUCUUGCAAUUGCGGCGAGUUCCUUUGGAAGUUAAAGUUGUCACUUAGUUGUAACUUAGGUUAAGAACUUGGCAGGCGUGUACUUGAAAAUACUCUGGGGACAAACAUAGUACAUUUAGUUUCCGAGUUCAAGGGUAAUUAAUGUAGGCUUUCUCUGGUUAAACUCAUUUGACUAAGCCAUACGAUUUUUUGGUAAUGAUUUUUACUUUUUCCGCGAUAGCUGGUUUAUAAGCCACACAAUUGGAAACUUUUUUUUCCAUCCGCACUUCACCAGUCACAUUACUUGCAGAAAUGCCUUAAUGCUAAAAAUGAUUUUCAGGCUUUUUUUUUUUUUUUCCCAUGGCGUUGCUCCAGUAAUUGUUGUACCCCAUGCUAGGCCUUAACACUUUCUCACUUUACACUCACAAGAGACAGAGGGUCAGUUCACAUUUCUCUCCGAAUCAUGUGCCCCAGUUUAAAAAAUAGUCAUUGUUUUCUUAGGCCACCCAUUCUUAGGCCUGUGGGCCAUCCCCAUACUCAGUACCUUCUCUUGGUGGCUAAUUUCAUAUUCAAACCAUAACCUUCCCUGGGCAGAAUUUAACAAUGGAGGAAAUGUGUUUUAUUUCAUGCACUUUUAUCUCAAGGCCUAGUUAAAAAGUAACUUUUAUCAGCUAGGUUUAUUUAUGUUCAGUGUUUUUUGUGGGAGAGGUGCCCUGAGUCGGCCUGGGGGAUACAAAGAUGGUAAAAUAAAGUGAGAGUCAACAGGAGGAGAAGGAGUUUGAUAAAGCAAGGAGAGGAAGGGCAUUCCAGGAUGAGGGAAUAGCAUGAGGAAAGGCACAGAGGCUAAGAGGCCUUGCCUGGUUUGGGGAACUGCAAGAGUAGAGCGGUCAGUGGGGCAAAUGACCCCCACCCCCCACCCCCCAGGCCUGGCUUAAAGAGCAUGGUCUCCACUGUCCACCAGGGGGAGCCCUUGAAGGAGUUCAGGCAGGGAAGUGGCUUGAGCUGAGGAGUUCUAGAAAGAUCACUGUGACUGGAGUGGGUCUGAUGGACCCAAGGAGAGGCUGCAAGCAGGGAAACCAGUUAAGAGGCCAUUGAAAUUGUCCAGGCAGAGGGCAGAGAGGAUUCAGCUGAGCCAGUGCCGGCAGAAAUGGAGAGGGGGGAACAUGUUAUCAAGAGGGAGGGAAAGAGGGGAGUUUAGAAGUGGCCUGGGUCAGGACGGGAGCCAGCUAAGGAGCAAGAGGAGGAGGCCAGGCAUCCAGGAGGCCAAUGGAGCAGGAAGAGCCAGAGAAGAAGGGGGAGGAAGCCCGGAAGUGAAGGUGGGGGAACCUGGGGAAGGAGCCAGAGGUCAGUAGCGGAAAAUGCAGUCGGGUUGUCGGGGGUCGUUGGUUCUUUGUUUUGUUUUGUUUUUCAAGUCGAGGAGAUAGAUACCUCAUGAGCAGAAAGGGUACCUUGUUACUUUAAAUGUCUACUUAUUUGAAUAUGGACAAAACCGGCCUUUUUUAUUUGCUUGUUUCCCAAAUGUAACUUGUCUUAUAUAUAAAUCAUCUUUCUAUGUCGUUGGCCAUUUACUUAUCGUGGAACGUACUGCACUGCUUUGAAUCAGUGGGUUCUGACUGGUCGUAAGAAGUUUGGAGUGUUCACUGGAGGGAAGCUCUGAAUAUCCUGAAGCUGGUGGUGUCUCGAUCUGCCAGCCUGGUUUUGCCUUCCUACCAACACAGUGACCUUUCAAAGAUGGAAAUACACCGAGUGUGGACGAGUGCUUCCAAGGAAUUACCUGGGAAAACUCUGGACUUUCACUUUGAUAUUUCAGAGGUAUGUUAACCAUUUCUGUAAGCUUUCGCAUGAAUAUACGGUGCAGGGGUCAAAAUUAGUUGCCUGAAGAGGGAGAGGCUUACUUUACGGUUAUGUCAAAGGAGAGCUGUCAAGGCCUAGGUUAGGGUCACUUUUUUAAGAACACGUUGAGUGUCAUAGUCCCUGGGGCUCUAAUUUGGCAGCUUUUAAAAAUAGAAGCUACCUCUGUUAUAUAAAAAUGAUUCCCGGAAGUCCCCACGUGGCCCAGAAGAUUCCGGAUCCGGUGUUGCCGCAGCUGUGGCACAGGUCGCGACUGCAUCGUGAGAGCGGCCAAAAAAAAAUAGAAUCUUCCAAAAAAGAUAAGUUUAAAAUGGAAUGAUGUGAAGUAUUUUAAACCAUGACCUUCCCUCAUUCUUUAUCUGACAGCUGUCAUGUGCUAUCUUAUAUCCGCAACCCUGUUCCCCGAGCUGCAGUCAAACCAGCAAAUGGCUGAGAUUUCCAGGAAUACAGAGUCUGCCUUUAUGGUUGCUUCUCCAAGACACAUGGCUUUUGAAAACAGUAAAAGUCAAAAUUCUUGUCUUGAGAGAGGGGUGGGGAGUGUGGGGGGAAGAACCUAUGAACUAAGUAGCCUGGAAGAAAAGAGGACAGAAAAGAGUCAGAUGUAUCUGCUGGUCCAUGAACGAACUUUGGGGAGGCUCGUAUUUAACUAUAUUCAUCUAAGAUGUAAAAAUACACUUGCUUUCCUAUCUCUCUUACCCCAGGACCCAUAAUCCCCCCAAAGCAGAAAGUACAGUCUCUCCAUUUUGCAGCAGGAUCUGUACAGUGUUUGGUGCGUGAUAGGUGCUUCAUAAAUAUUCCACAACUUCCACAGUACCGCUGAAAGAAUUAGUUCACGAAAGGAAUAAACUAGAUCUGCUUGCAUUCAUUAGGUAGUAGCCAGAUUGGGUCCCCCCCAACCCCCCUGGCCACAGUGUCUCAUUGACCUUUCAUCAUUUCAAUACUCAGGGUGAGCUGUUUUGUUGCCAUUGGGAUAUUUAGCAUCUAUAUGAUAUAGAGAUAUUGAAUCAGUGUUUUUCAAUUUGUACCCUUUUUUUUUUAUAUUGCAGGGUGGGCAGGGGGAAGCUUACUCUUUGACUUAAGUUUAUUCUCUUUCCAAAAGGUACAGAAAACCUUAGGCAAUCACCUGCAUGCCCGAGAGAUCAGCUGCUUCAGAACAAUGGGCCUUGAGGACAGGGGGGACAGGGGGAGAAUUAAGCCAGUGUCUGCCAUCUCUGAAUGGAGGCCUAGGAAUGGGUCUCUGUGGACACCCCGCUGGGGCUCAAAUUUAGGAGACCCUGCACCACUGUCCCCCCUCUCCCCAGGCCACCACACUCUAGGAUUCUCAGGAAGUGAAAUUUCUGAAAUGUUGCCCGAAAACCUGGCCCUGACCGCAUUCAGUUAAAUAACUGCAAAGAUAUAAAUAGUUUAAAAAAAUUUCUAAGUCAUUGGAAGUGUGUCAAGAUGGGCCAUUACAGAUUGGGACAAAGGGAAGAAAUUUUGGUCUUCUUAUAAGAAAUUCUUUCAGGAGUUCCCGUUGUGGCUCAACGGAAACAAACCCAACUAGUAUCCAUGAGGGCCCGAGUUUGAUCUCUAGCCUUGCUCAGUGGGUUAAGGAUCCGGCAUUGCUGUGAGUGGCGGUGUCGGUCACAGAGGCAGCUCGGGUCCCACAUGGCUGUGGCUGUGGCGUAGGCCACCAGCUGUAGCUUGGAUUCGGCCCUUAGCUGGGAACUUCCAUAUGCCUCGGGUGCAGCC